rnacentral:lncRNA from 1 species
AUGGGAGGGGGACUCGUCCUGUUACAGUUGACUUCAAGGCCUACUUGGACCCGUGACAGGAAGUCUGAAGUCUUGGCAAAACAAGGAAUAAUCACAGCAAAUACUGGUGUAUUUUGGAACUUUCCAGAGGAGGAUUACAAAAUAAGCCCACCUACAGAUUCCUUCCUCUUCUUUGUCACUUCUGGAGGCUGCAAAUGAAUUUUAGGGAUCCAACUAGAGAGAAGGCAAGGAGCAGCUUGUAAUAAGAAAAUUAUUGGUAUUAUUGGGCUGUCCACAACAUCCAGAGGACCCAUUUACCAGAAUUAUCGUUGUUUAUGGGGGAACUCUCAGUAACGCUUCACCCUUUUGCCAACUGAGAGUAUUACCUAUCUACAGGAAGGCAUAAAUAUCUUUCAUGUAGGUACAAAACCUUAAGAAGAGAUUACAUUUACAAAUAAGUAGGUUGGUGAUAUUUUAUAAUGGAGAUAAUUCUGGGAACUCUGAAUUGCCCUUUCAUCUCACUGAAUAGUUAAAUCUCAUAUUUAAAUAUCGCAUGCUGAGCACUAAAGUUGAAGUUCAAGAAAGCUGCAAAUUGCUGAAAAAUUUUCCCCCAUUCCCACGCCUUUUACCUAUUUAUGUAUUCUAGUUACUUGAUUUUCUUCCUGUAUUUUGUUUGAGUUUUGUUUAUGUCAGAACAGCCAAAUUCCUGAGGUUACGAAAGCAAUUUUUGCCCAAGUUAUGAAUUAACAAGAAGCUUCUGAGCCCAUAUAUUCCUGUUCCUAAUCUAGAUAUUUCUUUACAAUAGCUGGAAGGCCAUUGAGUUCCUUAUAAUCCCACUGUCAAAGAUCUGCUUCAGCAUCCUUUUGUCUGAGUUGAUCAAUCACUCUUGUAGGUGUCAGUGUUAUGGGUAACAACAGAUAGAUCUUGGCUUUUUCCUGAAGACUGGGAUUUCUAGAACUGUCUAUAUCAAACACAAAUGAGCCAAACUGUUGUGUCAUUGCAGUCAGCCAUUGCAAUUAUUGGUUCUAUGUCUAUUUAUGCCACCUAAGAAUGUGAUAUAGCAUUUAUUUUAUUUCUUGUCAUUGAGAGUAUACUCUUGGAAAGAUGAGAUUUAAUGCAAAUAAUGUAACAGAUUUGGACCCUACUGUGAGACAUUUUGGAUUUUUUCUUCUAAAUACAUAUCUGAAUAAAUGUAAUUGAUUCACUACCA